rnacentral:rRNA from 1 species
CCCUAGUAACGGCGAGUGAAGCGGCAACAGCUCAAAUUUGAAAUCUGGCGCAAGCCCGAGUUGUAAUUUGUAGAGGAUGCUUCUAGGUAGCGACCGGUCUAAGUUCCUUGGAACAGGACGUCAUAGAGGGUGAGAAUCCCGUAUGUGACCGGCCCGCACCUUCUACGUAGCUCCUUCGACGAGUCGAGUUGUUUGGGAAUGCAGCUCUAAAUGGGAGGUAAAUUUCUUCUAAAGCUAAAUACCGGCCAGAGACCGAUAGCGCACAAGUAGAGUGAUCGAAAGAUGAAAAGCACUUUGGAAAGAGAGUUAAAAAGCACGUGAAAUUGUUGAAAGGGAAGCGCUUACAACCAGACUUCUGGGCGGUGUUCCGCCGGUCUUCUGACCGGUCUACUCGCCGUCCCGAGGCCAACAUCAUCUGGGACCGCUGGAUAAGACCUGAGGAAUGUAGCUCCCCUCGGGGAGUGUUAUAGCCUCUGGUGAUGCAGCGCGUCUCGGGUGAGGUCCGCGCUUCGGCAAGGAUGUUGGCGUAAUGGUUGUCAGCGGCCCGUCUUGAAACACGGACCAAGGAGUCUAACAUCUAUGCGAGUGUUCGGGUGUCAAACCCCUACGCGUAAUGAAAGUGAACGGAGGUGGGAAGGGUAACCUGCACCAUCGACCGAUCCUGAUGUCCUCGGAUGGAUUUGAGUAAGAGCAUAGCUGUUGGGACCCGAAAGAUGGUGAACUAUGCCUGAAUAGGGUGAAGCCAGAGGAAACUCUGGUGGAGGCUCGCAGCGGUUCUGACGUGCAAAUCGAUCGUCAAAUUUGGGUAUAGGGGCGAAAG